AGUUUCCUUGAGCUUGUCAGGAGGGAUUCUUUUUGGCAGAGCAGGAAUAUCUGGAGCACUGCCAGAUGUGGCCCCAAAACAAAACUCGUUCAAUGACUUAUUCACUCUACUUCAGAGAACACAGACAUUGUCUCCUCUCUCAUCCCCCAAUCUCCACUGCUGUCCUCAUUCUCUGGAGCUUUUAAGCGCUCAACUUUGCCCUUGGUGGCACAUAGUCUUCUGCAGCCCCCAGAGAAAUUGCGCUCUUCCCUCUUCUCCUUGUUCAAUUUGAGGGUCAUUCCUAUAACAUACUCACUGGGACUUGGGAAUUGGACCUCCAAGAAUUACCUGCCUCACUAGUCUCAUGCUCUAUUUGGUUUGUGUAACAGUCUAGUUCUUACUAGAAGACAGUUGCCAAUUUUAUGCAAAGAGUAAAAGAAGAAUCUCUUGUUUCUUAUUUCUGUUUUACGAUGCAAGAAAAUUUCACUCUUUUUUUU